rnacentral:rRNA from 1 species
AGUAACACGUAUCCAACCUGCCGAUGACUCGGGGGAUAGCCUUUCGAAAGAAAGAUUAAUACCCGAUGGCAUAGUUCUUCCGCAUGGUGGAACUAUUAAAGAAUUUCGGUCAUCGAUGGGGAGUGCGUUCCAUUAGUUUGUUGGCGGGGUAACGGCCCACCAAGACUACGAUGGAUAGGGGUUCUGAGAGGAAGGUCCCCCACAUUGGAACUGAGACACGGUCCAAACUCCUACGGGAGGCAGCAUG